CUGUGUGUGUGAGAAGGGUGCCUCAUAUCUUACAUUUGCCUCAUUGGUCAAACAUUGCUAGAAGUGUCACCUCUCUAUGAUGGCAGCUGGACCUGUCUGGCUUCCUUUGGGGGACUGCUACUUUUCAUAAAUGAAUAAGAAAGAAAAGAGAUGGAUAUUAAGCAGGCAGCUGGCAGGUGGCUGUCAGGACUGAAAAUGGUAACAAAUGGGCUCAGAGGCUGGUGUGGUUCACUCCAUCCCUGGCUGAAGCCAUUGCUUUGGGGAUGAAGCAUCAUGGGUACAGUGGAAAUCCCCUUUGUCCAUCCAUUCUUUCCCAAUCUGGUCCCACAGCAGGCAACUGAACUUUGUGCUUGCUUCUGCGCUCCCCUGCCUCUGUCUCUGUCUUUGUCUCUGUCUCUGUCUCUGUCUCUGUCUCUGUCUCUCUUUCCCUGUUUCUCUCUGUCUCUCUGUCUCUGUCUGUGUCUCUCUCACUGUUUCUCUCUGUGUCUCUGUCUGUGUGUGUACAUGUAAACAGCAGGACCUCUGUUGUCUCUGCUUUGGAGUAAACCAAACCAGUUUGUUCUGAUUCACCUUCCCCAACUUACUGCUCAUCUCACUUUGAUUUAGGGACUGGUACUAAUACUCAAGAUACCCAUAUGCCGCUGUUCCAUAAAUGGUAUCAUUUAUUUGCCAAUUUGAGUUGCUUGGUGGUGGUAACAAGGGAUGCUGGGACACAUGUUCUGUGUCUGAUUUUCUUGAGAACCCUUCUGGGUGUUGUUCUGAGGAACAGAGUCACUGUGGUCAUAGCAUACACAUGUCACCUAUUUGCUUCCCAGUGGUUUUUUACAAUUCCUGAAGAUUUUGAAGCAGGGGCAUGACACAGACCAGGAAUUCCCAAACUGGAGUCCUGAGUUCUUAAGGUCAAAACUAUUUUUAAAGAAUGUAAGACAACCCCUGCCUUCUCAUUAUCUCUCUCUGAUGUCCAGUAGAACUUUCUAGGCAGAGUAUGUGUUGACUUCAUAGCUCUGGAAGCUAAAGGGACAUGCAUGGGUGUAUGCAUGUUCUUUAAAAGCCUCUUCGGCUGGGUGUGGUGACACAUCUGCAAUCCUAGCAUUUGAGAGGUUGAGGCAGGAAGAUUGCAAAUUUAAGGCCAGCCUGGACUGCCUAAGUACUACUGUCACCAAAAUAAUUUUUAUAAAGUCCAUUUUAGGGGUCAAUCAGGAUAGAUCAGCAGGUAAAGGUGAUUGCUGCCAAGCUGGACAAUCUAAUUUGGAUCCUGGGACCCACAUGGUAGAAGGAGAGAACUAACUCCCACAGGUUGUCCUGAUCUCAGUAUGUACACCAUGAUAUGUAUGCCCACACACACAAUACAUUUUUUUAAAUGAAAUUUAAAAUUAUUUUAAAAAAGUCUUUGCCAGGUGGUGAUACACGCCUUUAAUCCCAGCACUUAGGAGGGAGAGACAGGUAGAUCUCUGAGUUUGAGGCCAACCUGAUCUACAGAGUUAGUUCCAGGAUAGCCAAGGCUUCACAGAGAAUCCCUGUCUCAAAGGUAAAACAAAAGAAAACAAAGCAAAAGAACAACAAACAAACAAAAAAAACCAAAACAAACAAACAAACAAACAAAAACAAAAAACCCAACCCUAAAACAAAAUAAAACUUUAAACCAGUUAUAAUGAGCCAUGCCUGUAAUCUCUACACUUGGGAGCUACAGGCAGGAAGAUCAAGAGUUCAAGAUCAGCCUUAGCUAUAUAACCAACUUGAGGCCAGUCUGGACUACAUGAGACCUUUUCUUAAACAAAAGGGAAGUGUCAUAAAUUCUAAGUGUGUCAUUUUAACAACAAGUGUCAUGAUGUAGACAGUGAAGAUGGACACCAAGUUCUUUGAGGUCCUCCAUGUUUCAGAAAGUAAAGGAGGUUUGAGAUCAAAACCUUUCAGGAUUGCCAAGGACAUAACCACUAUUUAUAUCCAUGGGGUCAAAGCAUAACAAGGCAGCAUGAGGGUCCGCAGGGCAGAUGCCUCAGGCUGAAGCAGCUGUGUGUCCUCUGCCUGCCUGUUUCUGGAAUCCAGGAGAGUUUCUUUGGAUGCUGUUCACAAAGGGUCUUCAAAAUGAGUCAGGGAGAAGCAAGCAUUAGCUUUGUCAACAGCCCUGAGUGGGUCCUCGGGACAGUCUGGCACUAGGAACCAUCAUAUUGGGACACAUUUUUUUGUUCUUUUAGCAUUGAGCUGAAUGAGCUGAGCAGCCUGUUUCUAAAACCUGAAGAAAGGUGAGUACACAGAUCACACACCUCACAUGCAAAUGACAGUUUGAGUUUGUACCAAUCACAGCAAACCUUGCAUGCAAAUGAGGAUUCGUGUUUGCACCAAUCACCAUAAGCCUUACAUACAAAUAAACAUUUGUAUUUACACCAAUUACAGCAAGCCUUACAUGCAAAUGAUGGUUUGAGUUUGCACCAACCACAGCCUAACUCUUUUCGCUCUAAUUAGAGCCAGGGAGGUUUGUGUUUAGGCCACUCACAGCCUUCCUUCUUGCCACCAAUCACAGCAGUCCCUCUGCUAGAC
rnacentral:lncRNA from 1 species